rnacentral:rRNA from 1 species
UACGAAGGGUGCAAGCGUUAAUCGGAAUUACUGGGCGUAAAGCGUGCGCAGGCGGUUGUGCAAGACCGAUGUGAAAUCCCCGGGCUUAACCUGGGAAUGGCAUUGGUGACUGCACGGCUAGAGUGUGUCAGAGGGGGGGGUAGAAUUCCACGUGUAGCAGUGAAAUGCGUAGAGAUGUGGAGGAAUACCGAUGGCGAAGGCAGCCCCCUGGGAUAACACUGACGCUCAUGCACGAAAGCGUGGGGAGCAAACAGG